rnacentral:rRNA from 1 species
UACGUAGGGUGCGAGCGUUAAUCGGAAUUACUGGGCGUAAAGCGUGCGCAGGCGGUUUUGUAAGCCAGAUGUGAAAGCCCCGGGCUUAACCUGGGAAUGGCAUUUGGGACUGCAAGGCUGGAGUGUGGCAGAGGAGACUGGAAUUCCUGGUGUAGCAGUGAAAUGCGUAGAUAUCAGGAGGAACACCGGUGGCGAAGGCGGUUCUCUGGGCCUUACCUGACGCUGAGGAGCGAAAGCGUGGGGAGCGAACAGG